AUUGAACGCUAGCGGGAUGCCUUACACAUGCAAGUCGAACGGAGUGGCGAACGGGUGAGUAAUGUAUCGGAACGUGCCCAGUAGCGGGGGAUAACUACGCGAAAGCGUAGCUAAUACCGCAUACACUUGGAGCGGCCGAUAUCGGAUUGGCUUGUUGGUGGGGUAACGGCCCACCAAGGCGACGAUCCGUAGCUGGUUCGAGAGGACGACCAGCCACACUGGUACUGCGACACGGCCCAGACGCCUACGGUAGGCAGCAGUGGGGAAUUUUGGACAAUGGGGGAAAGCCUGAUGCAGCCAUGCCGGGUGUAGGAUGAAGGCCUUCGGGUUGGAAAGCACUUUUGGCAGGAAAGCGGUAACUGAAGAAUAAGCACCGGCUAACUACGUGCCAGCCGCCGCGGUAAUUA
rnacentral:rRNA from 1 species